rnacentral:ribozyme from 14 species
CACAAUGAUUGUAAUGAAUACAAAGGGUAAUAGAUCCCAAACAGAAGAAAUGGAAAAUGACGAUGACGAAGAUUUCUCAACGGAUUUCUUGUUCUUGACAAUUUGUUGUUUCUUCUUCUUGUUCUUGAUCUUGUUCUUAUUCUUGUUCUUUUUGUUAU